GUUUAAUGUACCAUGCUGAGAUGCCUCACAGACAGAAAAAGCAACAUAAAUGAUAACAUAGCACUCUUCCUAACAUAAAUUGUUCAAAUGACACAAUGAGGCAGAAGUUAGAGAAUCAGCUUCUCUGCCUUGAAAGACAAGAGCAGAUGGUUUCCUGUUCCACUUAAAGCUUACCUUAGAUUUGCUGCCUAGCUAAGGCAUUUAAGUUGAAUUAAAUGAAGAUGGUAGAGCAAGAAGGCCUUAAACUCUCAGCAUAAACAUUCUGGAAUUAAGCCUUUCAGAAUAAAAUGUAAAGGAAACCCUGGAUAUUUUAGGUCUUCAAGGGAGCGCGUCCAUACAGAGAUUUUGUGGGCUUUAGCUAAUGCAAUUUCAUGUCACACCCUUACUUAAUUCAUCUUGAUCUUUCCCCAGUGUCCCACUUCAGCUUGAUUCUUUAGUAUGAAGUGGCUUAGUAUGAAGUGGAAUAACAGUGGAUCAAAUUCAGAAGAAAGCAUUAGCUGAACUUUUAGCUGAACCUUGCCCAUUAUGGGAAGGUUACUCAGCAUGGAGUAAGAAACGAUAGGCCAGCUACUUCAUACCCACUUUGUGUCAAUACACUUGGUUUACUUUGAAGUACUGUAGGCUGCAUCACACCAGCUAGCAUACACUGAGAGUUCACGCAAAGUAAUCACUGCAUUUAAAAUUCAGAUACACACCCCUUCAUGACUCUCACAUUUGCUCAACUAAAAGCAAAACUCAAAGACUGAAAGACCAGGUGGGAUACCUGCGCAUUAUCACUUCACUGUAGUAAUGCACUGCACUGAUAAUGGAGGAGAUAUUUAUUAACCAGGCACUUGAAGUUAAAACUGGAAAACAAAUCAAAAAAGCCAUUUGGAGAUGACAUGAAUAUUGCUGAAGGCAAUGAAGUCCAUGAAAUACAUUCCCAGAGACAAGGAUAAAGUUAGCGUGUUAAAUUGGAAGUUUCUGUGCAUUACUUGAACCAAUAGGGAAGGCCAAGAGAGUAUGGAAAUGUGCGUUUAUGAAAGCCAGUAGAAAGACUUCAUUUGGUAGUGAAGAGGAAGAAAAGGAGGAGGGCACAGGUGGACCAAAGGCAGGGAGAGAUUCUUGAACCACAGAAGUAAAAACUCCUUAAAAGUUAUUGGUUCGUUUGCUCUGUUAAUUGCUCAACACGGCAAUCAAGGGGGACUUAAUUUUUUUGUUUUAAAAGAGUCAUUUAAGGUUUUGCAGCCUCAUAACCAAAAACAUCAGAGUUACCCUCCCUUCACUGGAGACAAAGAACAAUGAAAAGAUGGAGCGUCUUGACAUAGGUCUAUGGACCAGCCAUCCCCAGGAGACUGAGAACUCCAAAAGAUUAAAAGAAGACCAACAAGCAUAGGAUCAAGGGCACGACAAUUCACAAAAGAUGGAAAAGAUUAGGACUGCUGUCUUCAGAGAAAAACAAGAGAGACAGAAUAGAAGUUCAUAAAGUAAUGUCUAGCGCAGGCUCAUCAGGAACUUCUGUUCUUCCUAUGUCACACUGUAGAAUAAAGGGACAUUCUCUGGACUAUCAAACUAAAGGUGGAAUAGUCAAAAUUGGGUGAAAAAAAAUACACAAGAGAUUAAAAUACGUUGUGGUUCAUCCAAAGCACUGAUGCUGAAUCAAAGGGACUCAGAAAGAAAAUGAGUUACCAACCUAAGUAUAUAAGACACCUUGAAGUUCAUGAUUCUGCAUGCACUUCAGCUUGUCUCACGCCACACACUGCUGUUCGCCCCAGGCCCUUUUCAGCUGUUAUCUGUCCCUCCACAGCUGUUCUUUAGCCAAACAAGAAGGACAUGCAGCCUUGUGCCAACCAGACGCCGUGCUCAUUCUGUAGCAAGGUCUCCACAGUAAAGUCUUAUCCAGAACAAACUUGGCAAUCAGAUCUACUUACUACUGAAUAACCCCAACCAUCAGACUCCUGAGUAGUUACACAUUUCAGGUAGUGCUAAUGAAGAGCCGAACUUGAAGGGGGAUCCUAGAAUAAGAGCCAAGAGUUCGAGGACACGUCAGAGACACAUCAGCAGUUUUGCCAAAGAUUUGUUUAAAACACAAGACAAAAGUCAGAAGACCAGCAACUACCAGGAAGAAACAUGGCGUCACGUGUGCACAUUAAGAAAAACUUGACCUUUGAAAUGCUAAUAUAUUGAAUUUUAUACCUGGAAAGAGGUCCCUCCUCUGCUUCUCUCCAUGAAUCCAGCUGGUAAGGAAGGGUACAGUCUUCCUGCAGAUGAUCUCAUUAGGAGCAGCAGUUGGGUUUUUUUUUCCCACCAUUAGGACUAGUGAUGUAGCAACAACUGAUUAUUUUCAGCUAACAGCACUGAUACGAUUUUCAAACCAUAGAUGGCUUCCAACCAGCUCGAGAGAAGAGCCCCAUCUCUGCUCAUCACAGCUUGCAGAGAACAUGCUGACUACUGCCUGCCUGGGAAAUCCAGGGAGCCCAGCUGAGCCUCAGGGACAACGUUAAGAUGAAAGUGGUCGGAAGGACAUCAGAACAGUUUGACUGGGCUGGGGAUACCCCAGACAAUAAAGACAGUUUGGGAACAGGCCUGGUUUGCUGGCUGGGUGUGCGUGCACCAAACCAAACAAGCAGAUGAAGGGAAACCACUCCCUGGGUGCCUGCAACACAGAGCUGGUUCUCAGUUCUGGGAAUGGACAUGGAGAGAAUAUAUCCCAAUAAAGUACUGCACUCAAGGAUCUAGGUGCUAAUUUUGCAAAUUGGCUAAAAUAAAUAAAGGCUGGAGAUACUGAAUCUUGCAUCAAGUACAGAAGGGCAAACCUAAGAAGGUGACCUGAAAUCCACGCAUCUCUGGGGAAAAGAAGAGCUUUAUUAAAAACCAACAUGUUAUCAAAUGUCCUUAUCAUCAACAGUCAAUGCAAGCUGGCAGGCUGAAAUCAAUGCCAGCUAUUGGGAUACAAAAGCAUCACAAAAAGCUACAGCUUCCUUUGAAAAACAUAUAUUUAGAUGUAGAUCAAGGAUACUUCUGUUUUGUCUGCUUGGCCUUUUUUUUUUAAAUUUUUUAUUUUUUAAUCAACUCACUUAGCAUAUAUAAUUAAAGAUACAAUAGUCAGCCUUAUUCCUGACCACAUGCAAAGUGGCAAUAUUUUACAGACCAGUUCCUGCCUGGGAAAUGCAUCUGUUGGAAGUUUAUCCCACUUAUGUGCUAAAAUGGCCGCUUUUUCCCCACAGCUCACAGAAAAGUUUACAAAGCUGGAGCUGUCGAAAAAUAAACCAUCCUGUGCUACAGCCAUGCACAGUAAAAAGCAGUAGAAAUAGGUCAAAUUCAGUGCCACAGAAUCAUAGAAAAAUAACAUCAUCCAGGAGGGCAGUGGAUUAGUAGAGAAGGUAAGCUUGAAAUGCUGUUUUUCUCUUAAGUUGACUGUGUUAUUAAAGUAAAUCAUUUUGGUGAUACAAAAGUUGCCUUGAAUCAUAAGUAGAGGAAAGAAAGAGAAGAUCAGGGAGCAGGACAGUACCAAAACGACCGAAUGCAAACCAGCAGAUGGGGUGGGUCGGAGCAGAAAGAGGAUGUCGCUGUGCAUUCACCACAGGAGGGCUGAUCAUAAGCACAUAAAGUGCUGCAGCUUCAAGGCAAAGGCCUGAGAAAGACGUUCUCAUAAUAGUUUGGAGCUUUCAGAACACAUCCUAUGAAGCUAAAAUAGAAAAAGUCAAACAACAGUUUCAGAGACCACUCAGUGUCACAUCAGACUGACCCUAAGGAAACAGAACCAUAAGGAGUGGAAAGACCGCUAAGAUCAUCUAAUCUAACCACCAACCCAUGCACGUGAGCGCUCUAGACCACGUAAUUCAGCGUGACAUCUAUCCCACCACCUCCCUGGGCAGCCUGUUCCACUGCAUCACCACUCCUUCUGAGAAAAAUUAUGUCCUAAUAUCCAACCUGAACCUCCCCUGGCGCAACCUGAGGCCAUCUCCUCUCAUUCUAUGGCUGUUACCUGGGAGAAGAGGCUGACCCCACCUCACCACAGUCUCCUUUCUGAGAGAUGUAGAGAGCAAUAAGGUCUCCCCUGAGCCUCUUCUUUUCCAAACUGAACCAUCCCAGUUCCCUCAGCCGCUCCUCAUAGGACUGUGCUCCCAACCCCUCACAGCUCCAUUGCCCUUCUCUGGACACGCUCCAAAGCCUCAAUGUCAGAUCCCCCGGUGCAGCCCCUUGACCAAGCAGAAGAGGGAAUUUGCUUUCAUCUUAUUUCCUACAGCAAGGAAACCUGAAUGGCCCCCUCCUCCUCCUGAAUGAAACCAGCAGCCUCAGGCUAACCAGCUCACCCUCAUCUUUCUGCAACGAUUGAUUCUUCUGCCCUUAGCAGCCCAAUCUAACGGUAAGCCACAAAUGGCCACUGGCACCCAGCACGCCAUGUGGCUGCCAUUAGACCUGCUCCAUCCAAAUUCCUGGUUUACGGUCACCUGCACUGCGUCAGUGCCAUGGGGUGGGUGUCAGGAACAUGCCUGCAGCUGAACUCCUCCAGCUGCUCUGAAAUGUGGCGGAAAUAACAGGAACGUAUGUGUCGCAAGGCAAAAAAGAUAAUCAAAUAAUUGGAAAGAAAAAAAGAAAUAAAAAUGAAGAAGAUAAGGGCUUAGCUCGUGCUGCUGAGGGAAGAAGAAGAGGGAAGGAGCACCUCCAGGCUGCCUGGAAAGAGCUCACACAGCGAAGGGCUGCAGCGCUGAGUGGAGAUAGGCGGAAACCGUGGCUGGUGCUGCUGGGAUCUGGCUCCAGCAAGCACAGGUACGGACAAGAUUUAUUGUUCCUGUUGGAACACGCUCAUUUGUGGAUCAGCAGCUGCUCUGCAUGCACAGUUCAAGUUAACCCUUCUUUUGCAGAGAGCUCUAUAAACCUGCACUGAUCCCAUUAGGAAGUAAAGGGAUGGUUCCCACCCUGAUACGCUGUGCUGGGCUCUCCAGCUGGGUCCUCAUGUCGCUGGGAUCAGCAUCCUGUGCCUUGGGCACAGAGAACAGCAGUACGUGCAUCUGCACUUAUUUCCCUUUUACAGGAAAAGUGAGAGAAAGAAGCAUCUUUAAGACAGGGGUUCCCUUUUCUAGAGAAGAGCAAAGCAGAUGUUUCUGGACCACUUCCAGGGAGGAUCUGUCAGAGUCCCAAUUUCUGAUUUUCAGAGCCAAAAAGGGGACCAAAAUCUUCAAAAGCAGAACCACCAUGACCCACUCUGGCUUCUGUUCCUUAUUUAGGGCAGACUACGUCCAAGAUGUAAUUACCUCUCUACAACUCCCCAAGCAGUCAGCACACACAGGGGCAUCUCUGGGAGCCACUGCUCAGCCCCCCAUGCUCUCACCGUGACUGAAACCAUCUCACACCCCACGCCUUUGGGCAGACGUAGGGAAACAGCACAGAAACAGCUCCAGAUCCCCUUCUCCUGUGACCUGGGGGUUGGAUCACCCCUUUACAGAAGAUAAGAGGUUUAGAAGCAUAACAAGAGGCCCUCCAAACACUCCGAUGUGAAGGAAUCACCUUAGCACAUGCUGGUCCAAAGGACAAGCAGCUUUAUUUUACCAGCACUUCAUUUUCUUCCCUCUUUCCCCAG
ensembl:lncRNA